UUCCUUGUCCGUCCUGCGACCUCUCCUGCUCCAGUGCGAGACCCUCGGCCCUCUCUCUCCAUCUCAGAUCUCUCUUCCUGUCCGUCCGCCGACCUCUCCUGCUCCAGUGGAGACCCUCGGCCCUCUCUCUCCAUUCUCAAGAUCUACGUUCCUAUCUGUUGCAGACCUCUCCUGCUCCAGUGGAAGACCCUCGGCCCGUCUUCUCUCAUCUCAGAUCUCUCUUCCUCAUCCGUCUGCAGACCGUCUGCCUGCUCCAGUGGAGACCCCCGGUUCUCUUGGAAACCAGCCUAACCGCAUUCCCAGCCGUGGAAGCAGAUGUGGGCCCAGCCUGGUCCACCCGAGGUCUUCUAUGUGGAAAGGCCUCCCUUUCCCUCUGUGUCCUCUCCACAUAUCUUUUGGGCCCCUAGCCCCCACGGGUUCUGGGCCCCACAAUCUGGGCCUUGGGUAUCCCUCGGGGCUGUUCCUCCCAUGCAUCUGGCCUCCACCCUAGCGCCUCGGCCUCCCCCUCCCACCCCAGCCUCCACCCCGGCUCCCCUGGUCUCUACCCCAGCACCUCCAACCUCCACCCUCACACCCACAGCUGUCCCCCAAGGCUUUCCGAUCCCUGAGCCAAGCAGCUCCGCCCUGCCUACAAGCCUGGGGCCCAAGUCUAGGAGGAGCAGAGCCCUUCCCCAAGAGGCUGCCGAGCCGGUCACUGAAGCUGGCCAGGGGCCUGGCCCUCAGCUCAGGGGUGUCCUGGGCCAGGUAGUGGCAGCUCGGCUGUUCCCUGACAGCCCGGAGGACCCGCCUCCUCACCUAAAGGGCCCACCUCCACCCGAGGCUGGAUCUCCGAAAGUCAAGACCACACAACCCCAAACCAAGGUGACUCCCCCUCCAUCUGAAUCCCAGCGUCCGGCCAAGGCCAUGCCACCUGCAUCAGGGUCAGUGAUCUGGAAGGCCAAAGCCACUCCUUCCCUUGGAGCAUGGCCACAGCCCGAGGUCCCACCCACUCCAGCAGAGCUGACAUCCACAGUCAGGGCCACGCAGCCUGCCUUCCAGGCUGGGUCUCCGGAGGCCCUGGCCCCGCCCCCACCCGCUGCUCACCAUCGCCCCUCAGAGGCCCUGCUCACCCAGGCAGCCCGGCUGCUGGAGGCUGCAGAAGACUCUGACGGCAGCGAGUUCCAGGAUGAUCCUGUGCUCCAGGUGCUGAGAGCCCAGAGGGCAGAGCUGAGUCGGCAGAAAAGGGAAGCAGACACCCUAUUAUCGUUCCUGUUGAACCAGGCCAAAGACCCGGGAUCUUGGUCUCCUCCAGCCAGGUCGCCCCCCAGGUCCCCAAGGAGGCUGCUGCGAAGGGAAGGCGCUUUCCUGGAUGCCAGACGACUUUGAAUUGUACAGAUUCUGGAUUCUAUUUUAUCCAGAAAAAAAAGCAUCAAGCCUGGAGGCUGGCCUGUAAUAAGCAGUAGAAGAGGAGACAAGAAAAUGUCCAGUGGGCAGGAGGAGGCCAAGUCGCAGAAAGCCUAGGUUUAUGUCCCAGGCAAGGUGUCUGAGGUAAUGAGAAACGUCCAUGGGCAGAGCGUCCUCGGGAUGAUGUAAGCAGGGUCGGGAUCAGGACUGAAAAGGUGGGACUUGGGACUGGGACUUUGAAAAGCCACUUGAGGAACGGGGCACUGCUCUGAGGCCGUGGGAGAAUCCAAUUAAGAAUAUCAGGGCCUGGAGUGGUGGCUCAUGCCUGUCAUCCCAGCGCUUUGAAAGGAGGCUGAGGCGGGAGGAUCUCUUGAGCCCCGGAGAUCAAGACCAGCCUGGGUAACAUAGUGAGACCCCAUGUCUCAAAAAAUUAGCCAGGCGUGGUGGCGCGUGCCUGUAGUCCCAGCUACUUGGGAGGUAUUGCUUGAGCCCAGGAGACUGAGGCUGCAGUAAGCCAAGAUUGCAAGACUACGUUCCAGCCUGAGCGACAGAGCGACACCCUGUCUCUUAAAAAAAAAAAAAAAAAAGUCCGGGCGCGGUGGCUCACGCCUGUAAUCCCAGCACUUUGGGAGGCCGAGAUGGGAGGAUCACCUGAGGUCAGGAGUUCGAGACCAGCCUGGCCAACAUGGUGACACCCCCAUCUCUAUUUAUAAAAUUUAAAAAUAAAAAUUUUUAAAAAGUCAGAAGAAUGGCCACUGUGAGUGGACGAAGGGGAGGGUCCAUUGCGUGUUGGAAGUGUCGGAAGCAAAGCAUAAAGAACCUGGGGGCGUGUCUCAGUAGGGCGAUGACAGCCAAUGAAAAGCAGUCAUGGGCGUGGCGCUGUCAAACUUCGGGGGGUGGGACUGAAGAUACCGAGCCAGGGCAGAGCCCAAGGAGAAGCCAAUGAGAAGCCGCCUGGUGGGCGGGGCAUUGACCUAAGGCCAAGGGCAGAGCCAAUUAGAAGCAGCGUCGCUUCCCCUCUGCCUCCCGCCCCCGUGGGGCGCGCGCCGGAGCCUUGGG
ensembl:lincRNA